AGAGAUGGUUCAGUGGUUAAGAACACUGGUUGUUCUUCCAGAGGACCUGGGUUCAAUUCCCAGCACCUCUG
rfam:Cricetulus griseus cell line CHO-K1, whole genome shotgun sequence.